UACGUAGGGUGCGAGCGUUGUCCGGAAUUAUUGGGCGUAAAGAGCGUGUAGGCGGCUUGGUAGGUCCGCUGUGAAAACUCGAGGCUCAACCUCGAGACGCCGGUGGAAACCAUCAGGCUAGAGUCCGGAAGAGGAGAGUGGAAUUCCUGGUGUAGCGGUGAAAUGCGCAGAUAUCAGGAAGAACACCCGUGGCUAAGGCGGCUCUCUAGUACGGUACUGACGCUGAGACGCGAAAGCGUGGGGAGCGAACAGG
rnacentral:rRNA from 1 species